rnacentral:rRNA from 1 species
ACGAUGAAGCCUUUCGGGGUGGAUUAGUGGCGAACGGGUGAGUAACACGUGGGCAAUCUGCCCUUCACUCUGGGACAAGCCCUGGAAACGGGGUCUAAUACCGGAUAACACUCUGUCCCGCAUGGGACGGGGUUAAAAGCUCCGGCGGUGAAGGAUGAGCCCGCGGCCUAUCAGCUUGUUGGUGGGGUGAUGGCCUACCAAGGCGACGACGGGUAGCCGGCCUGAGAGGGCGACCGGCCACACUGGGACUGAGACACGGCCCAGACUCCUACGGGAGGCAGCAGUGGGGAAUAUUGCACAAUGGGCGAAAGCCUGAUGCAGCGACGCCGCGUGAGGGAUGACGGCCUUCGGGUUGUAAACCUCUUUCAGCAGGGAAGAAGCGAAAGUGACGGUACCUGCAGAAGAAGCGCCGGCUAACUACGUGC